CUUCCAAUUCGGCAUGCUAAAGAAUUUUAAAGACUCGAGAUACUGAAAUGGUUUGAAUGAAGAAGUGGAAGGUUCUACUGUCAUGCCAUAGAACUCUAGCCCAAUUGUUUCCAUUGUCAUACCCUCAAUAGUCAAGUCCUUGAGAGAAGGUAGUUGACCUAGUGAUGGAAGUGUUACACAAUAUUCACAAUUCGAGAUACACAAGGACACCAUGUUAGAAAAAAAAGGAUCACCCAACCAACUCGGAAAGCUUGUCCCACCAUACAAGCUAAUGCUCAGUUUCCUCAGGUUAAAUGAUGGUUGCAACAUAUCAAGCACAUCUUUCUCUAUUCGCGAGUCUUCCGUUUGUUUGCUCCAUUGUAACUCUAAUUCCUCAAUAUCUUUGUUUCUCAUGUUGACAUCAUAAGCCUCAAUGGCAUCGAUGACAUUCUGCAGGUUCUUGAUACAAAGCUUUCCCCGUAGGUUAGGAAACUUACCAACCUCUUUCAAACUUAACCCGGUGUCUUGCUUGCCAACUGAAAAAACAGUUAAUGUUUGCAGGUUAUUGAGUCCAAGAAUUUGCGUUGGCAUCUCCUUUAUGCAUGUCCCGCUGAUAUCAAGGUGCCGUAAGUUAAUUAACUUUCCAAAAUUUGGUGGCAACUCAGUGAGGUUUUCACACCGUGUUAAAUUCAAGGUUUGCAGAUUGUAAAGAUUGCAUGUUGCAUUAGGUAAGCUUUUAAUUCCAGUGAAUGAGAGAUCUAAAUACCUCAACUCCACCAAACUACCUACUGAUUCUGGCAGCAGGUUGAUGUUUUGAUAAUUUUUUAAGGAUAGCACACGUAACCGUUUGAGUUUGGGUAUUAAAUCUUCAACAACCUUACUAGAUAAGCAAUAUGAUCCCUUCACGAUACUAAGGUUAACGGGUAGAAAGCUCCGCAACCAUUUGAAAUCGUAGAGAACCUCAAACUUCUUGAAAAAGUCGUAAUAUCCUUGAUUAUAUGACAAAUGACGUACAUUUUUAGACAUGUUACCACCACAUUCAAGCCUGAAGCAACUUGUUCCUGACACCACUAAGGCUAAAUCAUUGACAAGGUCAUGCAUAACAAAUUUUUCUUUUCCAUCAUCAUUUGAUUGUUGAAUUAAGCACCUGGAUAACAAUUCAAUAAAGUAGUCAUGGCCUACUUCCUCAGCUGUUUUAUUACGUUGAGAAUGCUCUAGGAAGCCUUCUGCCAUCCAUAACAAAAUCAAUUCCUUCUUGUCCAGUGGAAAAUCCUUCGGAAAAAUUGAGCAAUAGGCAAAACAUCUUUUCAAAUGUGAGGGAAGAUAUUGAUAACUUAGACGCAAAGCAGGUAAAAUAUUAUCAUUUGGUAAGUUCCAUAUGUCACUAUUUAGAAUUGCAGUCCACUCUUUUGCAUCUACCUUUGAACGCAAAAUUCCUCCGAGUGUUUUAGGAGCUAUGGGCAAUCCACCACACUUUUUGGCAAUCUUUCUACCAAUUUCUUCUAGAUUUGGGUACUUUCUACCUCGACGGUCUUCACUUCCGAAUGCAUGCUUUGAAAGUAACGACCAACAGUCAUCAUCUGAUAGAGGAUCUACUUUGUGAAUAGGAAACGUGUGUGCAACCUCCGCAACUUUUUGUUGGCGUGUUGUGAUGAUCACCAUACUUCCCGUUUUGCCGUUAAUCAAUGGAGUUACUAACUCAUCCCAAUCAUUAUAACUAUCAUUCCACAGAUCGUCCAGCACUAACAAAAAUCUUUUAUCCCUCAAGUUUUGAUUCAAUUCAACUCGAAGAAAAUCAAGAUUAUUGUUUUCACCACCUCUUGAAGUGACAGAUUCAUGAAUGGUUUUAGUUACUCUCAGAAUAUCGAAAUCCUCCGAUACACAAACCCAGACUUUCAGAUCAAAAUGGUCUUGAACUUCUUUAUCAUUAUAAAGAAGUUGGGCAAGAGUGGUUUUGCCAACACCGCCCAUACCCAAAAUUGCAACCACACCAAUACUACUAUUGGUAGUGCCACUGUCAGAUAUCAACAUACUAAUGAGUCUCUCUUUAUCAUCCUUCCUUCCAACCAUAACAGAUUCAUUUACCAUUGAACUUGAAGGCGUUCUUAGAGAAACUCUCCCGCUCACAGUUUGCAAGCCAAGGAUAUCUCUCUGUUGUGCAAAAAGUUGCAGCCUUUGACACAUAAUCUUCAUUUGUGAAUUGAUCUCUCCAUAGAGAUUUUUAAAAGGACAUGAAAAGAGGUUCCAAACCUGAUUAGUCAUGUUUUCAGAUUGUAUCUUCUCCACCUUACAUCGGAGGGAGUCGUAAUUGAUUUGGUUAAGCAAAUCCUCAGCAUCAUAGAUUGCAUCUUUCAGUUGAUCCAUCCAUUGUUUGACAGCAGUGUUGGUGAUUUGCUUCUGUUCUGCAUCAUCAAGAACCGCCUGAAGAGCGAGCAGUGUUGUUUCCAACUCUGCCAACAGUGAGGAAUUCAGCUUGGUGUUUCUGAUGUAAUCACAAAACUCUUGUGAAGCAAGUUUCUCAACUAAAGUCUGAACAGUAGCAGAGAGAAAAGCCCCUCCCACCAAAGUUGCAGCCAUCUUCUAUUGUUAAAGUAAAAGCAGCAAGGAAUGAAGUUGUAACUAAAUCUUGAAUGAAUUUUAGAACUAUGUUGUGAAUGGUAAAGAGAUAAGGCUUAAUAAAAAUACACGGUUAUGUUGUGAAUGAAUAACUAAAGUAUUGAGAAAAGCAUUGACAAACUACAGAAAAAAGCACACCAAUGGUUAAUGGACACACAUCUGGCAAAAUAAUUGAUAUAAAGAAAAGAAAACAAUAAAGCAAAAGAGAGGAUUCCAAAGUGAUCACCUUUCAGCAGAGGAGAUAUACCUUUUUUUAUUGGGUCAAGUAAUCAAGUGAUUAGAGCUCACACAUUUUAAAUAUGGUUAAAUGUUUGGAGUUUGAACCCUGACACAUGCAUAUAAUAUGCAAUAUCCCUACCAAUUAAGUUUUUUUUUUUUUUUUUAAGGAUCCCUACCAAUUGAGUUAAACUCACGUGGAUGUACAUGAAGUAUAUUUAUUAGACACAAACCCAUGCAAAAAUAAUUGGGAAUACACAAAACUGUUUUUUUAUUUAUUUAAUAAAAACGAUGUCAAUUGAUACGACUAAAUUCUUUCUCUUAAAUUUUAUUCAUUUCAUUGAAGGGUAUCCAAAUAAUAUUGAUUUAGGGUUGUAUCUAUGAAAGAAUUAUCAUCACCAUAUUUCUUAGAUAAUUGUUUGUUGAUGUUUAAAAGUCAUGCUGCGAAUAAAGCAUAAUUUAGCAAAAGCUACUAUCUAUAUAUUCCCUUUUCGUCUAUUAAUUGAAGAAAUAAUUUGAAAAUAAAACAGUAAGUACAAAAAUGAGUAAUAAACCCCAGUAGAAACUGGUACGAUUGGGACAUGGACAACUGUGUGGACCAAUGGACUUACCAGUCUUGAUCGUUAUAAAGGACGCUGCUACCACAUCGAACCUGUUGCUGGAGAAGAGAGUCAAUUUAUUGCUUAUGUAGCUUAUCCCAUAGACCUUUUUGAAGAAGGUUCUGUUACUAACAUGUUUACCUCCAUUGUAGGUAAUGUAUUUGGGUUCAAGGCCUUGCGUGCUCUACGUCUGGAAGAUUUGCGAAUCCCCGUUGCUUAUGUUAAAACUUUCCAAGGUCCUCCUCACGGAAUCCAAGUUGAGAGAGAUAAAUUGAACAAAUAUGGAUGUCCCCUAUUGGGAUGUACUAUUAAACCUAAAUUGGGUUUAUCCGCUAAAAAUUACGGUAGAGCAGUUUAUGAAUGUCUACGUGGUGGACUUGAUUUUACCAAAGUUGAUGAAAAUGUGAACUCCCAACCAUUUAUGCGUUGGAGAGACCGUUUCUUAUUUUGUGCCGAAGCUAUUUAUAAAGCACAGGCCGAAACUGGUGAAAUCAAAGGACAUUAUUUGAAUGCUACUGCGGGCACCUGUGAAGACAUGAUGAAAAGAGCUGUAUUUGCUAGAGAAUUGGGCGUGCCUAUCGUAAUGCAUGACUACUUAUUUGUAUUUUGUAUAAAGUAUAAAAAAAAUACAAAUAGAAUUCUGAAUUCGAUAUAAUAUUAUCUAUAUAGUUUAUAAUUUAUAAUAGGUCAUUCAUUCAUUUUCUUUCUAUCUUUUUUUAGUUUUAGAAUAUUCUAUAUUAUAGAUUUACAUUAUACUGAUUAGACUAAUUAGAAUAAUAUUUUCUAUCUAUAUAUAGUAUUAUUAUAUUCUCAUAUUCAAUAUAUGAUAUUUUAUUGAAUCAAAAAAAAAAUAAAAAAUAACAGGAGCACGUUUAUUAUAUCGAAAGUAAGGAGCAAUAAUCUAUCGUGGGUAAAGAUACUAUCGCUGAUAUGCUAACUUUGAUACGCAAUGCUGACAUGAAUCGAAAAAGAACGGUUCAAAUACCACUUACUAAUAUCACCGAAAACAUUGUAAAAUACUUUUACGAGAGGGUUUUGUUGAAAACGUUAGAAAACAUGGAGAAAGCAACAAAUACUUUUUAGUUUUAACUCUACGGUAUAGAAGAAAUAGGAAAGAAUCGUAUAAAACUUUUUUAAAUUUAAAAAGGAUCAGUACACCUGGUCUACGAAUCUAUUCUAACUAUCAACUAUAUGAGUGAGAAAAGUAUAAGGAAAAGUGAUUCAAUAAUUGAUGUUGGAAAAGUGUCCCAUUAAGUGAAGUGUGUGUGACAACUCACAAUUAUUAACUACAUCCGUUCCUUUUUAAUUGUCACAUUUUUACAUUUUAUACAAACCAAGACAAUCAACAAUUGAUGCAAUAAGUUAUACUUUUACUAUGAUUAGCUUAUUCAUUUAAUAUCUCAUUUCAUAUAUUUCUCUCUCUGUAAUAAAUAACUAAGGAUAAUAUUGGUAAAACAACAUUUAAUGUUGCAUUGAACUUUGAAAAAUGACAGUUAAAUAAGAACAAUAAUUUUCUCUAAAAGUGACACUUAAAAAGGAACGGAGGGAGUAUUACUAUCCUAACUUUGGAAGUUUCCUUGGUCAAAAAAAAUAAAAUAAAAUUUAGAAGCCUCCAUAGUCUUACUAUCCUAACUUUCGAUGACCAUAUUUUACGAUGGUUUGUGGUUACCAUGGCUGAAAUUGUGCCGAACUUGGGAGGCAUGUUAGGGUAGAAAACAAUUAAGAAUGAGCGUAGAAGGGGAAAAAGGUUGAGAGUGUGUCUAUUAAAGGAUUUUUUUGUGGAAUUUCAAUUAUAUAAGUAGAAAUUAUUAAUUAUAAAUAUCUUUUUGCCAAAAAAAUUUUGUGGAUUUUAAAUAGCUAGUUAUGGUGGUUAAUUGCUAUGAGUGUUAGUGAGAAGAUGAAAUGCCAACAAAAUGUUGUUAAUGAAGAAUUGUACGGGGGUUUGCUUGGGAUUUAGUGGCAAGGAGCUCCUUCCAAGGACGUACGUAUCUGGGGAAUAUCGGGUUCGAUUCCCAAAAGGAACAACGCUUGGCCAGUGCACAUGCCUCUAACAGAGGGCAUUUUGUUGGAAACCGGUGCAAAAGAAAAAAAAUAUAUAUAUGUUGUGGCCUUCGUAGUAUUUGAGGUAGUGGUGUCAGAACAGUCAAUGGCAAACAGUAGGAAACAUCUAUCCUCAGGCAAAUAUAUGCUUCAGUCUGACCCCUGAGGAUUCCUGCAAAUAAAUAGAGUGUUUGGAUUGCAUUUAGUCUUUCUUAAAUUGUUAUAUUUAGAUUUUCAAAUUGUUUCUGAAAAUAGAAUUUUUAUCUAUCGAAAUUUUUUGUUAAGUACGAUUAGGUCAAUCUUUUAAAAAUGUUUCGUGGCAAUGUUCAUAAUUAUGCAAGAUAAACUAUCAACCACGCUGUCUUUAGGAUAUAGUAAGCUUAACUGCAACUGUGCAAUUAAGUACUGCUAUGUAGAAAAUCGCUCGAUUAACAACUAAGACCACUCUUAUUUUAUCACUAAAACCAAAUCAAUUAUGGUACAAUGACUACUCUACUAUAAUAUUGUGACCACUCAAAUAUGGUGUUACCACUAUUCUAACUUUUAACAUCUCCAAAUGUCAGUAUGGUAUUUCAACCACUUAAAUAGGGUGUUACAAUCAUUAUAACAUAUAACUUCUCCAAGAAUCGAAGAAGAAUAUAUUUUUCAUAUCAUUCUUAAUUUUGAAGGGACAUUAUACCGAAAAAAGACUACGAUCUUAAAAUAUUAUUUAAUUCAAAUGGACAUAAAAUAUCAAAGGGACUAUGCUAGACCAUUCUUAAAUCCAAACGGACAUUAUAUCAAAAAGUGACUAUGAUCUUGGGGAAGAGAGAAGAAAAGUAUUUGAAGUUUCAGAAUACUUUUCGGUGCAUCGAAUGAACUAGGUGAACUCUCCUUUUAUAGGGAGAGGAUCAUGAUUAAUCUAGAGAAACUUAAGAAUUAAGUAAACUAAAAAUAUUAAGCAACUCACGUAUCAACUUAAGUAACAAAACAAUAGGUAAGUUCAAAAUGAAACGAACCAAAAAAGGGGAAGAAACAAAUUGGAUAUAAAUAAAGGAAAGAUAGGAAACUCCGUUGGAUUCAAAAUGUUAUCACAACCAACAUAAGUUAAAACUUUGAAAAUUGAUAUCUAUGAAUAAAAAUAAUAAUAAUAAUAAUUAGUUUUAUCAUUAUCAUGUAUUUAGGUACCGUUUGCCCCGACUUUUUUUCAACUUCUCUACAUUUUCAAGGAGAAGUUAGGUCAAACACAAUAUCAAUAAAGUACCUUCUAAAAAAAGUAUUUUUUUUAUAAUGCAUAAAACUGAAUGGAAUGAGCUUUGACCAAAAGUUGUUGCAUGCUACUUCAAAAAACUACUUCUUGUCAAUUUAUUUCACAAUCACCUCUCUUCAACUUCAACUCACGCAGGCAACUUUUUCUUUUAUUUUUUAAUAUUAUAUUUCAAUUUGCUUUUUUCUUACAUUUAAUAUUUUUUUUGAACCGGUCCAUUUAAUUUUUUUUAAGGAGGGUCCAUUUAAUUUUAUUAUCUUUUUUUUUAAGGAAUUUUAUUAUCUUUUUAUCACUUGUAUAUUUAAUUUCAAUAUCGUUUAAUCAUUACAACCUCACAAAUAUUUUUAUUUCCUUUCUUCAACCUCACAAAUAUAUACACACAAACAUUAUUUUUUUGUUUUGGUAAAUAGAGAUAUAUUUCAUUAACCAAAACAAUUAUUACAAAUUUCAUGCAACCUAGAAACCAAAAACAAAGAAUCUCUAGUCUAGGCUCUAACAAUGAAACAAACAAAAAAGCAAGAAAAGUGAUUUCAGGUUUUUCUGCCAAAUUUAUGGACUUGGAGAAAGACUUAUGAUAGAUCUAAUCCUAUAACAAAGUGAGAAUCUGGAUAAGAAAAAUUCUAAUUUCCUAAAAAUUGUUUGAUUCAUGUUGUCUAGUAGGCCUUCAAGCAGAGAUAGUCAGCCCUUUCCUGAGACUUUCCUUCGUUGCCAUCCUAUCUGCGUACGUUUCUCAAUUGAUGAAAACGGUAUUUUGAUAGUUUCUGCGAGGAAGUAUCCACCGGCAUCAUGAAUUACCUGCGCGAAGUAAGAAAGUUUAUCACCUUUGUUGAAUUAAAUAGUGUGUAUAUAUUAAAAUAAAAUCGAACUAUACAGAGGAAAAAGUACAACCUGAGUAAAUGUUAAUUUUUCUUUAUUACUAGUAAUCAAUUUAAAAACAAUGUAAAUGUGACAAAUCUAAGGGUUUCAUCUGGUUCAACAAUGUAGAUGUGACAAGCCUAACACUUUAGUCCCUCCAAUAUGAGCUACAAAGACUAAAAUGAAAAGAAAGAGGAUCAAAAGCAGCUUUUGUAUCAACUUGCUAAUUCUUUGGUAGUAUCACUAAUUGUAUUCUUUAUGUCAGGCUUUUUGUUCUUUCAGUUCAUCACUUCAUAAUUAAAUUUAUCUACAGAAAAAUCUUUUGUCAGAAACUGAAUUUCUAUGUACUGUUUUAUUAUAAUUUCUAAACUAAAGUCUUUUAAGCUUUGUAGCACCGACACGACACUGACACAUGUGAUUACUUUUAAUUAUGUCAUUUUCUUAAGUUACCACUUACUACUGAUGUUGACGUGUCCGUAUUUGUAUAAAGUCAUUUUCUUUUCGUAAUUUUUAAGUUCUAUGCUUUCAACAAAAGGCUAACCCAGAUACCGACGAUUUAUUUCAAAAUAUAACCCACUUUGAUUGACCUGGUGGUGUUGGCUUUGGACCUUGGAGUGUGCUACUCCUCAAGGUCUUAGGUUCAAUUCUCCCGUGCCAAUUUUCGUAGACUAGUUUAGUUUCUUGAUUAAAAAUAAAACUAAUCAAAAUAGAUAAGUAAGUACAAACUGAAGCUUUAUGACAUACAUUAAUGUUGCCAGUAAUUCUUAUUCUUAUAGUGUCUGCUGCUUCCUUAAGAGAAAUGAAAAAAUGAACCAAAUCUCUGUGAAUGCACUUUGCACGCCUUACCGAUGACAAACCUAUUAACAGCAAAAGAAUAAAAAUUAACAAUGGCUUCGAAAACAUUAUAAGUUUAAUCUUAACUAGGAUUAAGAAUAGGAUUUUAAAAAAUUAAACUGGUUUUCAAUAGGAUUUUAAGAAAGAAUAUUUUGUUCUUGUUAUUGAGAUAAAGUUGUAAAUGUAAAUUGUAAUUGUAAUUGUAUUUAUUUAUCCAUGUAAAUGUAUAGAAUAUCUGAUAACUAUCCUUUAGUUUUAUUUCAACAAAGAUAUGUCUCAAGCAACAUCAAAUCUCAUUGAGGUGCAUGUUGCAUAAAAUAGACAUUGAAGUUAUUAACUUAGGAUAGAUAUAUUUUAUGAAUUGUUCCACAGAAAAAAUCAAAGAAAAAGUUGAAAAAAAAUUCUAUAUGGAUAGAUGCAUAAAAAAACUCAUACCUGAAACAGAAUUGUAAAUUUUCCUUCACUUCUCUUUUCAUCCCUUCCCUCAUAUUAUCACUUCCCCAUUUAUUUCCAAGACUGGGAUGGACAACUGUUCCCACCUCUGACUUUUAUAGUUUGCUUCUAACAGAGGGCAUUUCCGGAUGCGCAGUAUCUUAAGAGAGGAUGGAAAAGUGUCUUUUGAAAGAGACUCAAGCCUUGGACAAUUAUAAAAGCUAAGUGUUUUAAGAGAGGAUAGGUGUCGGAGUCCAUUUCCAUCAAAGGAUUUUAUUUCACAGAGAUUAGAAAUAUACAAAGACACAAGUGAAAUUGGCAGCAACCGCUCCUUCAGCAAGGUGUUAACAAUAUCAUCGUCACCUCCAAUAUACAAACUUGAAAGCGAAGUAAGAUGUUGGAGACCCCAUUCAGCUACAGGCGUUGCUAUUCUCACUGUAUUAAUAUCAAUACUUCGUAAUUUGGGAGGUAGGCAAGCUCCUUUACAAAAUGGUAAAGUUAGUUCUGGAAGAUCUCCGAGAAGCAAACGUUCAAGAGAGAUCAGGGUGUCUAUUGGUAGAGUCAAUGAUCUAAGUUCAUCACAUUCAUAUACCGCAAAUGAUUGGAGGGUUGACGGGAGAUGGGAAGAAUUUUUUGUAAUAAAAAUGGAUUCCAGAUUUUUACAGCCAUAAAUGGAAAGAUCUUGGAGGGCUGGGAAACCAUCCAAAGGGAAUGAGGUAAGUGCAUAACAACUAUUCCAUAAGUGCAAAGUCACAAGAGAUGUGUAAUUGCCCCAUGUUUCAAGUGGCAGGAAUGCUAAAUUCGGACAAUCAUCAAUUCUAAGUGACUGCAAUGAAGUGGGUAGACCAUCUGUUGGAAAAGCAGCGAGAGAUGGAACAUCAUAAAGUAUCAAGAAUCGAAGACAAAUGCUGCUCCUAAUAAUUUUGGGUAAAGAAAACAGGGUAUCACAAUAAUAGAUUGUUGCACCUUGAAGCACACAAGGAGAAUCAAUCUCAAGUAACAACCAUUGGGAACUUCCUGUAGACCAAUUUAUACCUAUUUUGUUUAAUGAGGAGAGCCAAUGCAAAGUAGUUGGUGGUGUUGUCAAGAGACGGUCACAACCAGUUAUAUUGAUUUCAUCUAUUGAAGGAAGACUGCUAGGCAAAUGUCCCUUUAGUUUAGGACAUUGGCUUAAGCACAAAGUUCUAAGGCGAGGAAAAUUAAACUCAUCAUUUUCAUAGUGUAUCCAUUCUUUCCAAUUCGGCAUACUGGAGAUUUGUAAAGACUCGAGAGAUUGAAAUGGUCGGAAUAAGGAAAUGGAAGGUUCUACUGUCAUCCCAUAGAACUCUAGCCCAAUUGUUUCCAUUGUCAUACCCUCAAUAGUCAAGUCCUUGAGAGAAGGUAGUUGGCCUAGUGGUGGAAGUGUUACACAAUAUUCACAAUUCGAGAUACACAAGGACACCAUGUUAGAAAACAAAGGAUCACCCAACCAACUCGGAAAGCUUGUUCCACCAUACAACCUAAUAAUCAGCUUCCUAAGGUUAAAUGAAGGUUGUAACAUAUCAAGCACAUCCUUCUCUGUUCGCGAAUCUUCCGUUUGUUUGCUCCAUUGUAACUCUAACUCCUCAAUAUGUUCUUUUUUUCUCAUGUUGACAUCAUACGCCUCAAUGGCAUCGCUGACAUUCUGCAGGUUCUUGAUACAAAGUUUUCCCCGCAGGUUAGGAAACUUACCAACCUCUUUGACACUUAACCCGGUGUCUUGCUUGCCGACUGAAAAAUCAGUUAAUGUUUGCAGGUUAUUGAGUCCAACAAUUUGCAUUGGCAUCUCCUUUAUAUUUGUCUUACUAAUAUCAAGGUGCCGUAAGUUAAUUAACUUUCCAAAAUGUAGUGGCAACUCAGUGAGGUUUUCACAUUGUGUUAAAUUCAAGGUUUGCAGAUUGUAAAGAUUGCAUGUUGCAUUAGGUAAGCUUUUAAUUCCAGUGAAUGAGAGAUCUAAAUACCUCAACUCCACCAAACUACCAACUGAUUCUGGCAGUAUGUUGAUGUUUCGAUAAUAUUUUAAGGAUAGCACGCGUAACCGUUUGAGUUUGGGUAUUAAAUCUUCAACAACCUUACUAGAUAAGUAAUAUCCUCCUACCCAGUUGCGUAGGUUAAUGGGUAGAAAGCUUCGCAAGCACUUGAAAUCGUAGAGAACCUCAAACUUCUUGAAAAAGUCGUAAUCUCCUUGAUUAUAUGAAAAAUGACGAACAUUUUUAGACAUGUUACCACCAAAUUCAAGCCUGAAGCAACUUGUUCCUGACACCACUAAGGCUAAAUCAUUGACAAGGUCGUGCAUAACAAAUUUUUCUUUUCCAUCAUCAUUUGAUUGUUGAAUUAAGGACCUGGAUAACAAUUCAAUAAAGUAGUCAUGGCCUACUUCCUCAGCUGUUUUAUUACGUUGAGAAUGCUCUAGGAAGCCUUCUGCCAUCCAUAACAAAAUCAAUUCCUUCUUGUCAAGUGGAAAAUCCUUCGGAAAAAUUGAGCAAUAGGCAAAACAUCUUUUCAAAUGUGAGGGAAGAUAUUGAUAACUUAGACGCAAAGCAGGUAAAAUUGUAUCAUUUGGUAAGUUCCAUAUGUCACUAUUUAGAAUUGCAGUCCACUCUUUUGCAUCUACCUUUGAACGCAAAAUUCCUCCGAGUGUUUUAGCAGCUAUGGGCAAUCCACCACACUUUUUGGCAAUCUUUCUACCAAUUUCUUCUAGAUUUGGGUACUUUCUACCUCGACGGUCUUCACUUCCGAAUGCAUGCUUUGAAAGUAACGACCAACAGUCAUCAUCUGAUAGAGGAUCUACUUUGUGAAUAGGAAACGUGUGUGCAACCUCCGCAACUUUUUGUUGGCGUGUUGUGAUGAUCACCAUACUUCCCGUUUUGCCGUUAAUCAAUGGAGUUACUAACUCAUCCCAAUCAUUAUAACUAUCAUUCCACAGAUCGUCCAGCACUAACAAAAAUCUUUUAUCCCUCAAGUUUUGAUUCAAUUCAACUCGAAGAAAAUCAAGAUUAUUGUUUUCACCACCUCUUGAAGUGACAGAUUCAUGAAUGGUUUUAGUUACUCUCAGAAUAUCGAAAUCCUCCGAUACACAAACCCAGACUUUCAGAUCAAAAUGGUCUUGAACUUCUUUAUCAUUAUAAAGAAGUUGGGCAAGAGUGGUUUUGCCAACACCGCCCAUACCCAAAAUUGCAACCACACCAAUACUACUAUUGGUAGUGCCACUGUCAGAUAUCAACAUACUAAUGAGUCUCUCUUUAUCAUCCUUCCUACCAACCAUAACAGAUUCAUUUACCAUUGAACUUGAAGGCGUUCUUAGAGAAACUCUCCCGCUCACAGUUUGCAAGCCAAGGAUAUCUCUCUGUUGUGCAAAAAGUUGCAGCCUUUGACACAUAAUCUUCAUUUGUGAAUUGAUCUCUCCAUAGAGAUUUUUAAAAGGAGAUGAAAAGAGGUUCCAAACCUGAUUAGUCAUGUUUUCAGCUUGUUUCUUCUCCACCGUACAUCGCAGGGAGUCGUAAUUGAUUUGGUUAAGCAAAUCCUCAGCAUCAUAGAUUGCAUCUUUCAGUUGAUCCAUCCAUUGUUUGACAGCAGUGUUGGUGAUUUGCUUCAGUUCUGCAUCAUCCAGCACCACCUGAAGAGCGAGCAGUGUUGUUUCCAACUCUGCCAACAGUGAGGAAUUCAGCUUGGUGUUUCUGAUGUAAUCACAAAACUCUUGUGAAGCAAGUUUCGCAACUAAAGUCUGAACAGUAGCAGAGAGAAAAGCCCCUCCCACCAAAGUUGCAGCCAUCUUCUAUUUAGAACUAUCUUGUAAAUGGUAAAGAGAUAAGGCUGAAGAAAACUACACGGUUAUGUUGUGAAUGAAUAAUUGAAGUAUUGAGAAAAGCAUUGAUAAAAAGCAAAUAGUUGGUACUGUGUGUAGUAAAGAGAUUCAGGUUUGCAGGUAGCUUUGAAGGAAAAUUAAAGGAAAAUAAAUACUACUAGUAAAUACUAGUGGUAAAUAUAAAUAAAUAUGAUAUAAGGUAGUACAUUAGUCAAAAAAAUGUUAUUAUUAUAAGGGUUCUGCUAACCGGUGCUCGUGGAUACUGAUUAAGCAUACCAUAAAAAGAAAUUAUUACCGUAAUAGAAAACUGUUUUUGACUUUAUUAUCAAUUAAUUACACAAUUUCAAUGUAUUAACUACUAUAUAAUUUCCUUUUUCAUAUCCUUAACUAGAACCCCAGGAGCACCGGUUAGCAUUUCCCUUAUUAUAAUGCUAAACUGUUUCAAAACAAUUAAUUGUAAAUAAUAAAAAUAGAGCAAUGAUAUUUGUACAUCCAUUCCAUGACAACUUUAGUGACAACCUUGUUUUUCUCUCUUCUUAUUGGUCAAAAACAAUGGAGAGAGAAAAAGGAAGAGAGACGAUAAGACCAUCAUAUGAGUAUGAGAGAGAAAGUUGUACAAAAGUUGUCACAAAUUAAUUGUACAGAUAUCAUUUCUCAUAAAAAUAAAUGCAAUACAACUGAGAGAGAGAGAGAGAGAAAGCCAACAGUUUUCAAUAGAGAGUAGUGGUUUUGGAGUCUAUGUGUGGUUUUGCAGGUUGUGUCUUUCAAAAGAGAAAAUAUUACAGCCUGUGUGAAGUGAGUCCCCAUUGUGAUAACAUGUGAUUCAAUUAUUGAUGUUGGAAAAGUGACCUCUAUUGAAAUUAGAGCUGUCAAAAAUGGGCCGGGCUCAUGGGCCGGCCCAUUGGCCCGGGCCGGGCCUAAAAAACUAACCAAAAAAUGCGCUCGGGCUUUUUUGGCCCAAGCCCAUUUGGGCCAGACAAAAGUUGGGCCGGGCCGGGCUGGCCCACCGGGAUUUGGGCCGGCCCAUUGGCCCAUAUUUCAUUUUAUUUUUGUUAAAAAACAACAUAUUUUUUUAAAAAAUUAUCAACUAAUUUAAAAUUUAUUAACAAAAAAAUAUUUAAAUAAAUAAACUUAAUAAAUAUGGAUGAAUUUAGCUUACGGUUUUAAAAUUUUAAAGUUUAUAAAUUAUUAAUUUGAUUUAAUUGAAAGAAUAAUCUUGAGUUUAAUUAUUAUUCAAUGUUAAUGUAAAAAUUAUUUAUAUUUUUAUGUCCAUCCAAUCAUAUUUUAGCAAAAAAAUAAUGGUGAGUAACUAAUACAUAAGAAAAUAUAUAAAAAAAGUGAAUAAAAUUUAAAAAUAAAACACAAACGGGCCAGGCCGGGCUGGCCCAUGGCCCACCCGGGCCGGGCCAGGCUGGCCCAUUUCUAUAGUCGGGCCUCUCGGGCUUGGGCCGGGCUGGGCCGGCCCAUUUGACACCUCUAAUUGAAAUCAUUGAUGUUGAAAAGUGAUUAAAUAAUUGCAUAACAUGUGAUUCAAUUAUUUAUUUAUUUUGUAGUAUUAAUUCUAUUUCUUUAAGAAUUUAAUUUGUACACAUGCAUCCAACAAAUCAUCUAUUUCAUCCGUUCCUUUUUAAGUGUCACUUUUGAAGAAAAAAAAUUGUUUCUAUUUAACUGUCAUUUUUCAAAGUUCAAUGCAACAUUAAAUGUUGUUUUACCAAUAUAAUCCUUAGUUAUUUAUUGCGGAGAGAGAAAUAUAAGAAAUGAUAUAUUAAAUGAAUAAGGUCAUUAUAGUAAAAGUAUAACUUAUUAUAUCAAAAGUAGUAUCAAUUUUUUAUUGUCUUGGUUUAUGUAAAAUGUCAAAAUAUAACAAUUAAAAAGGAACGGAGGUAGUAAUAAUUAAAAACUAUUUAUAAAAGUGACACUAAGGUGUAAUUUGAUUGGAUACAUUUGUAAAAAAGUUUUACAUUGUAAAUAUAGUUUAGGUUCAAUUGAUAAUGCCGAUAUUCUUAGGAUGGACAUCUUGCUUGAAUUCAAAUCUAGAACCUUGCACUUGUGUGUGACUUUUAGGUGGCAUUUGUCAUUUAAAAAGAUUGGCAAUGUAUACAAAUUAAUCUCUUAUUUUUAGUAUACUAGUAUAGUGACAUGUGUUAUGCAACUUGAACAAUGUUUAUUUUUUAUAGGUAGAUGAAUUCAAAAAUUAUAAAUAAACUAAAUUGAAAAAUGUAAGAAAAUAAAAUUUCGAUUUGAUUGCAUUUAUCUUUAUUUGACUUGACAAAUUCGAUCGACAACAAAAAAUAUUAUAAAUACCACAAAAAGAAACAUGACAAAUUUCAUACUUAUCCGAUUAAUGAAUAUUAAUAUAAUUGAUAAUAAUAUAAUAAUAUAUUUCUUGAAAUAAAAAAAAAUAGCAUGAAAAUAUCAUUGAUGUACUUUUUUUUUUAAUAUGAGCAAAGGAAGAUUGCUCUUGUGAUUAGGCAUGACAAUGAAAAUCUAUUCUAUAUAAAAGAUACCUUUUCAUAUAGUAAAAUCAUCUGAAUAAACUAAUAUUUAUUUGGAUAUUUAAAAUUUGGAAGUCUCCAUAAUCUUAUGAGAAAAUUACACUCACCUCCUAUAAAAUUUCUUUAAACAAUACAUAAACCCCAUCUAGUUACUAAAAAACAGGCACCACCCUUAUAAAAUAACACUGUUAGCCUAAAACGUUCCAGCUUCUUCUCUUUCGGGUUUAUUCUUAUUCCACUGCAACACAACUCAUUUGAUCUUUAUAAUCUUUUUCAACCUUGUCCCAAGAUCUACGAUUCAUUCCUAUUCCACAUUGAUGAAGACGAAUGGGAAAUUGCAAUUAACUUAUAAUCUUUGUCUAAAUUUAUCUACUUCGACUGCUAGAAGAUGAUUAUCUUCUCUUUUUCAACAUUUAUUACUCUAGCUAUCAAAAUCACACAGCAGUAUUGAUUCUCUAAUCCCUAACAAAUAUCUAAGCUAGGAUGUUAAAUGAUUAAAAAUCUAAUAAAAAAGAAAAAGAAUAUUUUGGAUGACACUAGAUUAGAUUAGAUGUUAAAGUGUUAGGAACUGAGAACCCUCGCUAACAAGAGUAGUGUAAUAUUUGUUCUCACUAUAAAAAAUGGGCGUGGGAGAAAAUUGAUUAGAAGUUGUCCCUUCCUCAAUUUGUAUUCUAGAAAUUUCCACAGUAGUCAAUAAGGGAGGUGAAUGUUCAGUUCUAAACUAGAGGAGGUUUGUGUGUUAUUUAAAAAAAAUUUAGGGAAGGUGAGUGUAAUUUACCCUAAUUUUAUUAUCUUCACUGUCGAUGACCAUAUUUUACAAUGGUUUGUGGUUAGAAUGGCUGAAAUUGUGUCGAACUUGGGAGGCAUGUUAGGGUAGAAAACAAUUAAGAAUGAGCAUAGAAGGGGGAAAAAAGGUUGAACGUGUGGCUGUUGAAGGAAAUUUUAUGGAAUUUCAAUUAUAUAAAUAGCAAUUAUUAUUUAUUAAUAUCUUUUUGUGAAAAAAGAUUUUAGAUGUUAAAUUAUAUAAAUAGCUAGUAAUGGUGGUUAACUGCUACGAGUGUUAGUGAGAAGAUGAAAUUCCAACAAAAUAUUGUUGUUAAUGAAGAAUUCUAAGGGGGUUAAAAUAUGCACGUGUCCUUCGUGGAAUUUGGGGUAGUGGUGUCACUGUGUCAGAACAGUCAAUGGCAAACAGUAGGAAACAUCUAUCCUCAGGCAAAUACAUUGGCAUUUAGUUUGUCUUAAAUAGUUGGAUUUUGGAUAUUCAAACGGGUAUAUGGAUUUUUAAAUUCGUUUCGAAAAUAAAAUUUUCAAUCUAUCGAAAUUAUUAUUAGGUUAAGUCACUAUCAGAUGCUCUCUUUAAAAUGUUUCGGGAUACUGUCUAAAAUUAUGAAAGAUAGAUUAUUAACCACGUUACCUCCAUGAUAUAUUAAGCUCAACUACAAUUGUGCAAUUAACUACUGCUCUAUAGAAAACCCCUCGAUUAACUACAAAGACCACUCAUAUAUAUAACACUGAAAUCAAUCAAUGAUAUUGGUACUAUGACUACUCUACUAUGGUAAUGUGACCACUCAAAUAUGGUGUUACCACCAUUCUAACUUUUAACAUCUUCAAAUGUCAAUAUGACACUACGAUCUGAAAAUAUUGUUUAUUCCAAAUGGACAUAAAAUAUCAAAGGGACUAUGCUAGACCAUUCUUAUUUUCAAAAGGACAUUAUAUCGAAAAAAAGUCUAUGAUAUUGGGGGAGAGAGAAGAAAAGUAUUUGAAGUUUCAGAAUACUUCUCGGUGCAUCGAAUGAACUAGGUGAGCUCUCCUUUUAUAGGGAGAGUUCAUGAUUAAUCUGGAGAAACUUAAGAGUUAAGUAAACUUAAAAAUUAAACAACUCAGAGAUCAGCGCAAGUACCAAACGAAUCAGAUAAGUUCAAAAUGAAACAAAAAAAAAGUGAAACAAACUAUUGGAUAUGAAUGAAGGAAACAUACGAAACUUAAUUGGAUUCGAAAUCUUAUCACAAUCUACAUAGGCUAAAACUGUAGAAAUUGAUAUCUAUGAAUCUAUACUAUAUCUAUACUAUAUAUAAAGAAAAUAACCCAGCUUCUGACUUUUUUCUCUUUCCAAAUAUACUCUCAAUUUUCAAUACAAUUAACACAUAUAACAAAUAGAUAAGAAUAAUUUGAAAUAUUAAAAAAAUGUAACAAACACGCUAUGAAUAUAUAUAUAUAUAUAUGUUUCGUUUUUCCCUUUUUCAUUAAAAAAGUGUAACAAUUAGAUGUCUAUAUUUAUACUUACCUUUUCAUAAUCCCAAUUAUACCUUUAAACAACUUUUUCUAUAAUAAAGAUUGUUGGUGUCAUUAAAAAAAAUUAGAUUAUAUUUUUUUGUUAUAUUGUUUGUAACACCCAAUGCUGACGAGGGCGGGGAGUGUCGCCGGUGCACAAGGCACGACAAUGAGCGGUCUCGACAGCUUCUAGAGGAACCGAAUCACGCCGAAAUGAGAGGAUCCUGAGGCCUUGUAGGUAUGGGACUAUGUAACACCCCGUUUUCCCAACAUAAAAAUUUUUCAUAAAUAAUCAGAGUUUUUCAACAUAAACGGAAUGUCACAUUCUUUUCUUAAAAUCAUAAACUGAAUAAAUAACUAUUUAUCCUUUAAAAUUCAAAUACAAGAUCNGAAAGAUCUUGGAGGGCUGGGAAACCAUCCAAAGGGAAUGAGGUAAGUGCAUAACAACUAUUCCAUAAGUGCAAAGUCACAAGAGAUGUGUAAUUGCCCCAUGUUUCAAGUGGCAGGAAUGCUAAAUUCGGACAAUCAUCAAUUCUAAGUGACUGCAAUGAAGUGGGUAGACCAUCUGUUGGAAAAGCAGCGAGAGAUGGAACAUCAUAAAGUAUCAAGAAUCGAAGACAAAUGCUGCUCCUAAUAAUUUUGGGUAAAGAAAACAGGGUAUCACAAUAAUAGAUUGUUGCACCUUGAAGCACACAAGGAGAAUCAAUCUCAAGUAACAACCAUUGGGAACUUCCUGUAGACCAAUUUAUACCUAUUUUGUUUAAUGAGGAGAGCCAAUGCAAAGUAGUUGGUGGUGUUGUCAAGAGACGGUCACAACCAGUUAUAUUGAUUUCAUCUAUUGAAGGAAGACUGCUAGGCAAAUGUCCCUUUAGUUUAGGACAUUGGCUUAAGCACAAAGUUCUAAGGCGAGGAAAAUUAAACUCAUCAUUUUCAUAGUGUAUCCAUUCUUUCCAAUUCGGCAUACUUGAGAUUUGUAAAGACUCGAGAGAUUGAAAUGGUCGGAAUAAUGAAAUGGAAGGUUCUACUGUCAUCCCAUAGAACUCUAGCCCAAUUGUUUCCAUUGUCAUACCCUCAAUAGUCAAGUCCUUGAGAGAAGGUAGUUGGCCUAGUGGUGGAAGUGUUACACAAUAUUCACAAUUCGAGAUACACAAGGACACCAUGUUAGAAAACAAAGGAUCACCCAACCAACUCGGGAAGCUUGUUCCACCAUACAACCUAAUAAUCAGCUUCCUAAGGUUAAAUGAAGGUUGUAAAAUAUCAAGCACAUCCU
rnacentral:lncRNA from 1 species